rnacentral:rRNA from 1 species
GGACGAACGCUGGCGGCGCGCCUAACACAUGCAAGUCCAACGAGCGAGAGGAGGUUUACUUUCUCAAGCGAGUGGCGAACGGGUGAGUAACGCGUGAGGAACCUGCCUCAAAGAGGGGGACAACAGUUGGAAACGACUGCUAAUACCGCAUAACCCCACGACCCGGCAUCGGGUAGAGGGAAAAGGAGCAAUCCGCUUUGAGAUGGCCUCGCGUCCGAUUAGCUAGUUGGUGAGGUAAUGGCCCACCAAGGCGACGAUCGGUAGCCGGACUGAGAGGUUGAACGGCCACAUUGGGACUGAGACACGGCCCACACUCCUACGGGAGGCAGCAGUGGGGAAUAUUGCACAACGGGGGAAACCCUGAUGCAACGACGCCGCGUGGAGGAAGAAGGUCUUCGGAUUGUAAACUCCUGUUGUUGAGGAAGAUAAUGACGGUACUCAACAAGGAAGUGACGGCUAACUACGUGCCAGCAGCCGCGGUAAAACGUAGGUCACAAGCGUUGUCCGGAAUUACUGGGUGUAAAGGGAGCGCAGGCGGCAAGACAAGUUGGAAGUGAAAUCCAUGGGCUCAACCCAUGAACUGCUUUCAAAACUGUUUUUCUUGACUAGUGCAGAGGUAUGCGGAAUUCCCGGUGUAACGGUGGAAUGCGUAGAUAUCGGGAGGAACACCAGUGGGGAAGGCGGCGUUGUGGGCACCAACUGACGUUGAGGCUGGAAAGUGUGGGGUAGCAACCAGGAUUGGAUACCCGGGUAGUCCACACUGUAAAAGAUGAUUACUAGGUGUUGGAGGAUUGACCCCUUCAGUGCGGCAGUUAACACAAUAAGGUAAUCCACUUGGGGAGUACGACCGCAAGGUUGAAAUUCAAAGGAAUUGACGGGGGCCCGCACAAGCAGUGGAGUAUGGGGUUUAAUUCGACGCAACGCGAAGAACCUUACCAAGUCUUGACAUCCCUUGACGAUGCUGGAAACAGUAUUUCUCUUCGGAGCAAGGAGACAGGUGGUGCAUGGUUGUUGUCAGCUCGUGUCGUGAGAUGUUGGGUUAAGUCCCGCAACGAGCGCAACCCUUAUGGUCAGUUACUACGCAAGAGGACUCUGGCCAGACUGCCGUUGACAAAACGGAGGAAGGUGGGGAGGACGUCAAAUCAUCAUGCCCUUUAUGACUUGGGCUACACACGUACUACAAUGGCGUUAAACAAAGAGAAGCAAGACCGCGAGGUGGAGCAAAACUCAGAAACAACGUCCCAGUUCGGACUGCAGGCUGCAACUCGCCUGCACGAAGUCGGAAUUGCUAGUAAUCGCAGAUCAGCAUGGUGCGGUGAAUACGUUCCCGGGCGUUGUACACACCGCACGUCACACCAUGAGAGCCGGGGGGACCGGAAGUCGGUAGUCUAACCGCAAGGAGG